GAGGUUGAUCAUGGCUCAGAUUGAACGCUGGCGGCAGGCCUAACACAUGCAAGUCGAACGGUAACAGGAAACAGCUUGCUGUUUCGCUGACGAGUGGCGGACGGGUGAGUAAUGUCUGGGAAACUGCCUGAUGGAGGGGGAUAACUACUGGAAACGGUAGCUAAUACCGCAUAACGUCGCAAGACCAAAGAGGGGGACCUUCGGGCCUCUUGCCAUCAGAUGUGCCCAGAUGGGAUUAGCUAGUAGGUGGGGUAACGGCUCACCUAGGCGACGAUCCCUAGCUGGUCUGAGAGGAUGACCAGCCACACUGGAACUGAGACACGGUCCAGACUCCUACGGGAGGCAGCAGUGGGAAAUAUUGCACAAUGGGCGCAAGCCUGAUGCAGCCAUGCCGCGGUAUGAAGAAGGCCUUCGGGUUGUAAAGUACUUUCAGCGGGGAGGAAGGGAGUAAAGUUAAUACCUUUGCUCAUUGACGUUACCCGCAGAAGAAGCACCGGCUAACUCCGUGCCAGCAGCCGCGGUAAUACGGAGGGUGCAAGCGUUAAUCGGAAUUACUGGGCGUAAAGCGCACGCAGGCGGUUUGUUAAGUCAGAUGUGAAAUCCCCGGGCUCAACCUGGGAACUGCAUCUGAUACUGGCAAGCUUGAGUCUCGUAGAGGGGGGUAGAAUUCCAGGUGUAGCGGUGAAAUGCGUAGAGAUCUGGAGGAAUACCGGUGGCGAAGGCGGCCCCCUGGACGAAGACUGACGCUCAGGUGCGAAAGCGUGGGGGCAAACAGGAUUAGAUACCCUGGUAGUCCACGCCGUAAACGAUGUCGACUUGGAGGUUGUGCCCUUGAGGCGUGGCUUCCGGAGCUAACGCGUUAAGUCGACCGCCUGGGGAGUACGGCCGCAAGGUUAAAACUCAAAUGAAUUGACGGGGGCCCGCACAAGCGGUGGAGCAUGUGGUUUAAUUCGAUGCAACGCGAAGAACCUUACCUGGUCUUGACAUCCACGGAAGUUUUCAGAGAUGAGAAUGUGCCUUCGGGAACCGUGAGACAGGUGCUGCAUGGCUGUCGUCAGCUCGUGUUGUGAAAUGUUGGGUUAAGUCCCGCAACGAGCGCAACCCUUAUCCUUUGUUGCCAGCGGUCCGGCCGGGAACUCAAAGGAGACUGCCAGUGAUAAACUGGAGGAAGGUGGGGAUGACGUCAAGUCAUCAUGGCCCUUACGACCAGGGCUACACACGUGCUACAAUGGCGCAUACAAAGAGAAGCGACCUCGCGAGAGCAAGCGGACCUCAUAAAGUGCGUCGUAGUCCGGAUUGGAGUCUGCAACUCGACUCCAUGAAGUCGGAAUCGCUAGUAAUCGUGGAUCAGAAUGCCACGGUGAAUACGUUCCCGGGCCUUGUACACACCGCCCGUCACACCAUGGGAGUGGGAUGCAAAAGAAGUAGGUAGCUUAACCUUCGGGAGGGCGCUUACCACUUUGUGAUUCAUGACUGGGGUGAAGCC
rnacentral:rRNA from 1 species